rnacentral:tRNA from 1 species
GGGAGCUUAGCUCAGUUGGUUCAGAGCAUCUGCCUUACAAGCAGAGGGUCAAAGGUUCGAAUCCUUUAGUUCCCACCA